CGCAACCGAGCUUCAGCCCGCUGCAUAGUCCGGGUGGGUGGACUCAGCAAACCUUUUCCAUCGACAACGAAGUUUGAAGGUGCCUUUCUCCUAUACAUCGAAGGAUGCAUUGCAUCCAUCAAAUGAAGACUUUCACCGCCUGUUUGAAAUGCAAAAGAGUCUCUGCACCACGCCUGUUGCAAGCUGAAUGGCUUCCCUUCAAGUCCUCCGCUGUGAAUCUCCAGCCGUACUGUAAAAACAAAGGCCAUAAUUAAGACACACGGCGGAGUAAACAAAACAAGAAAUGCCAAAGAUGUUCCACCCUUUUCCUCUGUAACUUGUUCAGAAUCAUGGUUCCUGUGAGCACCGAUGAUUUAUAGGAGAUGAGUUUGACGUCUUUACAUGACAGACGGGAGAGAAUGAGUGGACUCAACAUUGCCCGUGGAUACGUUUUUGAGCUGUGUACUUGGGA